CCCGUUGUACACACCGCCCGUCACACCAUGGGAGCUGACUCAACCAGAAGCAGGUCAGGGUAACCGCAAGGGCCCUCCUUCGAAGGUGGGGUUGGUGACUGGGGUG
rnacentral:rRNA from 1 species